AUGCCAGAGGCUUGCCAGAAGAUUUCCACCGCUGCUGUCAUCCAGAUCUGUUCGCAUUUGCUUACAACUUUUGAUAAAAAGGAUCUCUGCUCAGAAGGAAAAGAAUACCAACACUUGAAUAAAGAAAAAUGACCUUGAGCAUUUUUAGUGACAUUGCAAAGCAAUGCAGAGAUCAUGGUUUAAAGCACUGUGGCAAGUAUUCCAUUCCUGUUCUAACUUCUAAGCUUGCAAGGACACAAGCAGCAGUUGCCAUUCAAUUCGUUUCUCCUUCUCCGAUUCACACAGCAGCGGUAGUUGUUCGUUUCUCCUUCAUUAGGUAAUUUUCCAGCUUUAUGCAUUGUUUAAUUUAUGUUUAUACAUAAUAUGUCCUUGACAUAAUUGUGUAUUAUUGUAUUACAAUAACUUUUUUCAUUGACAAUUUCACGGGAUUUGAAAUCACUUACCUGUUGGAGGCAAUUUUCUUUGUUACUUGUUUUGAUUCCUACAGUCACUUCCUUUCUAAAGCAUUUUACUCUGCAGUGCCAACAUUUGUAAAACUUGAUAAGU